AUGCUUGCUUCAGCAGCACAUAUACUAAAAUUAGAAUGAUACAGAGAAGAUUAGCAUGGCCCCUGCACAAGGAUGAUGCACAAAUUUGUGAAGCAUUCCACAUUUUU
rnacentral:snRNA from 1 species